UCGCGUCAAGAACUUCGGUCUCCUGCUUUCCCUGACGCGGCGGAAGAGUUCAUCGUGGGACGGAGACUCCAACGGGUCCACAGUUCUUCGCCGACGGUCGAAGAGGGAGUACACACGCAUCCCCCCCUCUCGCUUCGAAGCUUCACCCCGGCCUCGAAAGGCAGACGUAUAAUUUCUUUUGAGAAUUAGGCUACUUUGCUUUUUUUUUUUUUACUGACGCCCCUCUGCCGACUCCAAGGACUUGACGAUGUCGAGUGCCAACGGAAUAGAACCAACCUCUGUGGAAGGUCGCUACGCUUACAUCACGACCGACAGCGGCGGAACUUCUGUCUGGCGGCUUCCGCUGGCGACGACGAACAAUGACAUCGACUUAGCCACAGGGACGGUGGUCUUCGGCGGGCUCGGUGCCGGCACUGCGCUCACCCUCCUCACCAUGGCCCACGCUGUCUUCUUCGGGAAACGCAGG
rnacentral:lncRNA from 1 species